UUUUCAGUGUCGCAGGGAAACCGAUAAACACACCGCCUGGGGAGUACGACCGCAAGGUUAAAACUCAAAUGAAUUGACGGGGACCCGCACAAGUAGUGGAGCAUGUGGUUUAAUUCGAAGAUACGCGCAGAACCUUACCAACACUUGACAUGUUCGUCGCGACUCUAAGAGAUUAGAGUUUUCGGUUCGGCCGGACGAAACACAGGUGCUGCAUGGCUGUCGUCAGCUCGUGUCGUGAGAUGUUGGGUUAAGUCCCGCAACGAGCGCAACCCUCACUUUUAGUUGCCAUCAUUAAGUUGGGCACUCUGAAAGAACUGCCAGUGAUAAGCUGGAGGAAGGUGGGGAUGACGUCAAGUCCUCAUGGCCCUUACGUGUUGGGCUACACACGUGCUACAAUGGUAUCUACAACAGGAAGCAAAACCGCGAGGUUAAGCAAAUCCCUAAAAGAUACCUCAGUUCGGAUUGCACUCUGCAACUCGAGUGCAUGAAGCUGGAAUUACUAGUAAUCGUGGAUCAGCGUGCCACGGUGAAUGCGUUCCCGGGUCUUGUACACACCGCCCGUCACACCAUGGGAGUUGGUUCUACCUUAAGGCAAGGUUUUAAACCCUUGACCACGGUAUAGUCAGCGACUGGGGUGAAGUCGUAACAAGGUAGCCGUAGGGGAACCUGCGGCUGGAUUACCUCCUU
rnacentral:rRNA from 1 species